rnacentral:rRNA from 1 species
CGUAGGUGAACCUGCGGAAGGAUCAUUAUCGAGUUUGAAAGGGGUUUGCAGCUGACUCUCCGGAGUAUGUGCUCGCCUCGCUCAUCCACUCUACACCUGUGCACUAUCUGUGGGCUUCGGCCUACGUCUCUACACACACAAUAUGUAUCAGAAUGUAACACCGCGUCUAACGCAAUAAUACAACUUUCAACAACGGAUCUCUUGGCUCUCGCAUCGAUGAAGAACGCAGCGAAAUGCGAUAAGUAAUGUGAAUUGCAGAAUUCAGUGAAUCAUCGAAUCUUUGAACGCACCUUGCGCUCCUUGGUAUUCCGAGGAGCAUGCCUGUUUGAGCGUCGUGAAUCUCUCAACCCACAAAUUGUUUGUUCAGUUUGUGCGGCUUGGACUUGGAGGUAUUGCUGGCGAUGGUCAGCUCCUCUUAAAUGUAUUAGCUGGGCUUAGCUCGGUGGAACGGUUAGUGUGAUAAUUAUCUGCGCUGCCUACUACAUCGGAUCCCGCUUCUAAUCGUCCGCAAGGACAAUUCACUUUGAAUCUGACCUCAAAUCAGGUAGGACUACCCGCUGAACUU